UUAAAAUUGAGGUGAACUGUUCAAAUUUAUAAUGGAGAAAUAAUUAUUUAUAACCUUUUGAUAUUUUAUAAUUCUUUUAUAGUCAACCAUCAAUGCAGUGAUUGAGUUCUUUGGAUCAAACAAGGGGUUGCAUCUUGAGCAGAUAACAUCAGCUACAUUGACAAAGUUGGAAAAAAUUAAAGAGAGAAACAGCUGCAGGUGAAUUUGAUUGUCUAUCUCAACAGCAAAGAUUCAGGUUUACAGAAGACUACAAAUUUAUGUAUGGGAGAAAUAAUAAAGCGUAUAACAAGUUUGAUGUUGAAAUAAAGAGUACGAAGCUUCUUUUGUCAAGAUCAGGAGCUCUUAAUCUGCCACUCCCAGCCCAGCAGGCCCAGCCCCCGAGGACGCGGCUGCUGGCGAAAACUGCACUCCUCGGCUCUGGCCCUGCACUCCUCAGUCCUCCCCCUUCGCCUGGCUGCCCGGCCACCGCCCAACCCCAGCGUGACUCAGCUGGACCUGACUCUGACCCGUGACCAGGCGCAACCAUCAGGGGCAAGGACGCGUGCCACACAGACAGGGACCCGCGAUUUCAGGCUGCGCCUUCUCUCCGGCAUCCGCACUGCCUGUGGCUUCUGCGCGCAGCUGGAGCGUCCUCACAAGUGCCCCAAGGGGUCGGACACAUGCUGCCACCAUGUUGCUGUGGCCGCCUGCUGCCGGCGCUGAUGGG
rnacentral:lncRNA from 1 species